AUAUGAAGUCGGGCCUGCCCAGUGAAUUUAUUUAACGGCCGCGGUAUCCUGACCGUGCAAAGGUAGCAUAAUACUUGCCUUAUAAUUGAAGGCUGGAAUGAAUGGUUUAACAAGAGUGUGACUGUCUCAUUAUAAUUUAAUAGAAUUUUAUUUUAGGAUGAAAAAGUCCUAGUUAAAUUAAAAGACAAGAAGACCCUAUCGAGCUUAAAGUUAAUUAGUAAAAAAUUAAUACUUAUAAGAUUAUUAUUAAAAGUUUUGGUUGGGGCAACUAAGGAGCAAAAAAAGCCUCUUUUAAAAAAUUGUACAAACCAGUAAAGAUCCAAUAAUUUUGAUCAAAGAAAAUAGUUACCGUAGGGAUAACAGCAUUAUCUUUUUUAAGAGCCCAUAUCGAAAAAAAGGUUUGUGACCUCGAUGUUGGACCAGAAUAUCCUAAAGAUGCAGAAGUCUUUAAGGGUUGGUCUGUUCGACCAUUAAAAUUCU
rnacentral:rRNA from 1 species